AGCUCCAAUAGCGUAUAUUAAAGUUGUUGCAGUUAAAAAGCUCGUAGUUGAAUUUCUGGCUGGAGGUGCGCUUGGCUUCGGUCGGCGUAGCUCUCAGUCAUCCGUAUGAGAAGCUAGCUCGCACUUCACCGUGUGGCUAUGUGUAUCAUACAAUUUACUUUGAAAAAAUUAGAGUGUUUCAGGCAGGCAAUUGCUGGGAUACACAAGCAUGGAAUAAUGGAAUAGGACUUUCGAUCUAUUUUAUUGGUAUAUUAGAUCGAAGUAAUGAUUAAUAGGGACAGUUGGGGGCAUUAGUAUUUAAUUGUCAGAGGUGAAAUUCUUGGAUUUAUUAAAGACUAACUUAUGCGAAAGCAUUUGCCAAGGAUGUUUUCA
rnacentral:rRNA from 1 species